GACUAGUUCCAAGCAGACUGGCAUGAAAUCUCCCUUGGAACAGUUAGGGUGGUUAAGUGUUUCAGUUUCAAAAGAAUGCAGCCUGUAAGCAAAAUUAACAUCAAAAGAGGAAGCCAGAUGUCAAAAUAUUGAGCAAAAUGGGGCUGUCAAUAAUGAAAAACAAGCACUGCAAUGUGGAGAAUCCCCACACCAAUAACCUCAAGCAGUCCCUAUCUUUAAGAUAAAUUAACACCACGUGGGAGAGAUAAAGGACAAGAGGAACAGAAGAGGGACACAAUGGAUAGAAGAACUACUAGUCCAGUGAUCUUCAAACAUUAUCGCCAAAAGAACUGAUCAGAAUGAAAUUUGCAGCAUAAUGUAUAAUGUCACUCAGUGGAACAUUCAGGAACCCUCCAGAGAGGCCCACAGGAAUGGAGAUCACCAUCCCACAGCCAGCAAAUACUGAGACUUACAGAAGACUACAUGAAUGAGCUUGGAAGUGAAUUCUCUAGCCCUAGGCAAGCUUCUAGGUGACAUUAGUUCCCCAACCGAACAACUUGGCAGCAACCUCUGGGGACCCAAAACCAUUCCCUGAUUCCUCUCAAAAACUGUAGGAGAGAAUAAAUGCUGUCUUAAACUACUACGUUAGAAGUAAUCUGUUACACAGCCACUAUCAUCUGCUUAAAAAAACAAACAAACAAACAAACAAA